GCACAGUGCCCUACUGCCUCUUUAAGGAACUUUCAACCUGGGCUGGCGCACAGUGCCCUACUGCCUCUUUAAGGAACUUUCAACCAGGGCUGGCGCACAGUGCCCUACUGCCUCUUUAAGGAACUUUCAACCAGGGCUGGCGCACAGUGCCCUACUGCCUCUUUAAGGAACUUUCAACCAGGGCUGGCGCACAGUGCCCUACUGCCUCUUUAAGGAACUUUCAACCAGGGCUGGCUCACAGUGCCCUACUGUCUCUUUAAGACUAGGAAGCUACCCCCAGAAUCACGGGGGUAGCUGGGAGCAAAUACUCCAACCAGAGUUUCUGGAAGACCCAAGAACUUGGGGAAAGUUAAUUUAAUUUUGGAGGUUCUCUCUAUAUGUUUAUAACAUCCCUGGGAAGUAGGUUCUCUCUAUAAAUGUAUAACAACCCUGGGAAGUAGGUUCUCUCUAUAAAUGUAUAACAACCCUGGGAAGUAGGUUCUCUCUAUAAAUGUAUAACAACCCUGGGAAGUAGGUUCUCUCUAUAAAUGUAUAACAACCCUGGGAAGUAGGUUCUCUCUAUAAAUGUAUAACAACCCUGGGAAGAAGGUUCUCUCUAUAAAUGUAUAACAACCCUGGGAAGUAGGUUCUCUCUAUAAAUGUAUAACAACCCUGGGAAGUAGGUUCUCUCUAUAAAUGUAUAAUAACUCUGGGAAGUAGGUUCUCUCUAUAAAUGUAUAAUAACUCUGGGAAGUAGGUUCUCUCUAUAAAUGUAUAAUAACUCUGGGAAGUAGGUUCUCUCUAUAAAUGUAUAAUAACUCUGGGAAGUAGGUUCUCUCUAUAAAUGUAUAAUAACUCUGGGAAGUAGGUUCUCUCUAUAAAUGUAUAAUAAUCUCUCUAAACACAAAAUACACUUCAGCAAGGUUCCAGCAGUACUGCUGUACACUGACUGGACAAAACAUUAAGAACCCCUGCUC